UGAGUUUGAUCAUGGCUCAGAUUGAACGCUGGCGGCAUGCUUUACACAUGCAAGUCGAGCGGCAGCGCGGGGGCAACCCUGGCGGCGAGCGGCGGACGGGUGAGUAAUGCAUCGGAACGUAUCCCGUAGUGGGGGACAACCCAGCGAAAGCUGGGCUAAUACCGCAUAUGCUCUACGGAGGAAAGCAGGGGACUCGCAAGGGCCUUGUGCUAUGGGAGCGGCCGAUGUCCGAUUAGCUAGUUGGUGGGGUAAAGGCUUACCAAGGCGACGAUCGGUAGCUGGUCUGAGAGGAUGAUCAGCCACACUGGGACUGAGACACGGCCCAGACUCCUACGGGAGGCAGCAGUGGGGAAUUUUGGACAAUGGGGGCAACCCUGAUCCAGCCAUGCCGCGUGCGGGAAGAAGGCCUUCGGGUUGUAAACCGCUUUUGGUCGGGAAGAAAAGGCUUCGCCUAAUACGCGGGGCCAUUGACGGUACCGGCAGAAUAAGCACCGGCUAACUACGUGCCAGCAGCCGCGGUAAUACGUAGGGUGCGAGCGUUAAUCGGAAUUACUGGGCGUAAAACGUGCGCAGGCGGUAAGUUAAGUCUGAUGUGAAAGCCCCGGGCUCAACCUGGGAAUGGCAUUGGAAACUGGCUUGCUAGAGUGUGGCAGAGGGGGA
rnacentral:rRNA from 1 species